GGUAGGGGCGCUUUUAUUGGUCCAAGACCAUUCGCCCGGUCCGCCGGGCGUCUCCUUGAUGAAUCCAAAUAACAAAUCAGAUCGCAUGGUCUCCGUACCGGCGACUUAUCUUUCAAAUGCCUGACUUAUCAACUGACGAUGGUAGACUCUGUGUCUACCAUGGCUCCUACGGGUAACGGGGAAUCAGGGUUCGAUUCCGGAGAGGGAGCCUGAGAAACGGCUACCACAUCCAAGGAAGGCAGCAGGCACGCAAAUUACCCACUCCCGGCACGGGGAGGUAGUGACAAAAAAUAACGAUACGGGACUCGAUAUGAGGCCCCGUAAUCGGAAUGAGUACACUUUAAACCCUUAUUCAAAUAUCAAUUGGAGGGAAAGUUCUGGUGCCAGCAGCCGCGGUAAUUCCAGCUCCAAUAGCGUAUAUUAAAGUUGUUGCGGUUAAAAAGCUCGUAGUUGGUUCUGCGUACCACGCUGUCGGUACACCUUUUGUUGGUGACACUGGCAUGCCGUGGUAUGUCCUGUCGGUGGCGGCCUUUGGUGGCCCUAGCGCUUCGGCUAAUAACCGUCGUGCGAAGGCUCACCGGUCGCCGGCUACUAUCCUACCGCGGUGCUCUUCAUUGAGUGUCGAGGUAGGCCGACACGUUUACUUUGAACAAAUUUGAGUGCUUAAAGCAGGCAAAAAUCUCUGCCUGAAUAGUGGUGCAUGGAAUAAUGGAACAGGCCCUUGGUUCUAUUUUGUUGGUCUUCGGAACACAAGGAAAUGAUCAAUGUGGACAGGCGGGGGCAUUCGUAUUGCGGCGUUAGAGGUGAAAUUCUUGGAUCGUCGCAAGACGCACUAGAGCGAAAGCAUUUGCCAAGUAUGUCUUAAUUGAUCAAGAACGAAAGUUAGAGGUUCGAAGGCGAUCAGAUACCGCCCUAGUUCUAACCAUAAACGAUGCCAGCCAGCGAUCCGCCGAUGUUCCUCCGAUGACUCGGCGGGGAGCUUUCUUCGGGAAACCAAAGCUUUUGGGUUCCGGGGGAAGUAUGGUUGCAAAGCUGAAACUUAAAGGAAUUGACGGAAGGGCACCACAAGGAGUGGAGCCUGCGGCUUAAUUUGACUCAACACGGGAAACCUCACCAGGUCAAGACAUUGGAAUGAUUGACAGAUUGAUAGCUCUUUCUUGAUUCAGUGGGUAGUGGUGCAUGGCCGUUCUUAGUUGGUGGAUCGAUUUGUCUGGUUAAUUCCGAUAACGAACGAGACUCUAGCCAAUUAACUAGACGUUUCCGGUAUCGAAGCUACCGGCGACAUAUAAUCUUCUUAGGGGGACAGGCGGCUCUUAGCCGCACGAGAUUGAGCAAUAACAGGUCUGUGAUGCCCUUAGAUGUCCUGGGCCGCACGCGCGCUACACUGAAGGAAUCAGCCUGUUCGUUCCCUUGGCCGAAAGGCCCGGGUAACCCGCUGAACCUCCUUCGUGCUAGGAAUUGGGGCUUGCAAUUGUUCCCCAUGAACGAGGAAUUCCUAGUAAGCGCGAGUCAUAAGCU
rnacentral:rRNA from 1 species